UAGAGUCAAUAGCUCAAAAUUCUCCAGAUAUAUUUUUGGAUUUUUCAAUUUUUUUUCAAAAUUUUACAUAUUUUUUUGGUUAAUCUUACGGUAUGAGGUACUUUGUUAGUUUGGCACGCUUGGGUGGAAGCAUCUUGAAAACCCAAAUGUCAACUGUUGGAACUGGAGUGAUGACUGAUUAUGUAAAAGACGAAUUUACUGCAGAGCGAAACAAGAAGACCACUACCAUCAUGGCCGAAACACUAUUUAAAAAAGUGUCUACUAAAUUAUUUUAAUCUGAAGAUUGAGUGCGUCCCGCAAAUAAAACCACCUGUCCAAUAUCAUUCAAGCGUUAUCAAAGUGAGACAGGUAUGAUAUCGGAAAGGAAAUUGCUUGAAAUUGUGCGCUCUUUAUAGGUUGACAGAUUUGCAUGUUUCUACAACACUUCAUGGGUCCCAGCAACUAUUAGAAAUUGAAAUGAACAAAACGAUCGGGGAUGUGUUUAUUACAGUAUAAUUUAAUAAAUAUUAUCAUAGUUUUAGUAAAUAUUAUU